AAGACUAUACUUUCAAGGGUCAUUUCUAUAGUCAGUUACUAGAGAAGUUUCUAUGAUCUUGUAGAGCACCAGAAACCACGAGGAGGAAACCAGCAUUCUCUUCUGAGUGUGAAACCGGCUCUAGGUGUUGCUUCACUGCAAUUGUCAUUUGCCAUGAAUGAUUGUUUUUCUCUUCUUCUGGAAGAGUAAGAAGGAGAGGACACAGUCUGAGUAGU
rnacentral:snoRNA from 1 species